rnacentral:misc_RNA from 1 species
GUGGUCCAAAACUGGAAACAGAGUGUAAGUGCCUUAAUACAUUUGGUAAUUGUACACUCUUGCUUAGGGUAAUGGCAUUUCAAAGUUAUGGUGAAUAAAAACAAUAUUCAAAAUCGCAGCCAUCUUUUUUUUUCCGAAACAAAUUGCCAGUUUAUUGAGUUUUAACAAUCUAGUCCACUCUUGAGAAAUUGUCCCUUUUUGCCCAUUAGGGCUCACAAACUUUUAUCUUUAAAAAGGAGACACACAAGACUGGGUUCAGUGCCCUCCACAUGUUACCUAGGUUUAGCUAGUGCAUGUUGUAUGCAGGAUUACAUGGCAAUGCAACUGUUAUAGGAUCCCUCAUUUAAUUUUGGUGUCCUUUCAUUGGCACAAGAAAGUUGCAUGUGGGAUUACAUGGCAAUGCAA